CUUAUUUAUCUGUUAAGUUUUAAAGUACCAAUAUUUUCCACAUUGUUUCUGAGUUCAUAUAGAUCCGAUUGUCUAUUAAGAAUAUAUUGCUGGGUGUCCUCAUUUUUGCCCUUAUAUGAUAUACACACACUUUUCUAUUACUCAUGCAUUGCUCCGUAAAAUGUGAGCAGGAAGGCCUUGAUAUAUGCACUAUUGUUUUACCCAAUGUUAUGGAGUCCAUCAAUACCUAAGGUGCUG